CGUUCCAAAAAAAGAAACGCAAAUACAUAUGCUAAAGUCUCCAGGGCCAUGACGGAAAGAGGAUACUCCAGGGACACAGAACAGUGUUGUACAAAAAUCAAGGAGUUCAGGCAAGCGUAACAAAAAGCCAGGGAGACGAAUGGGCAUUCUGGGUCACAGCCCCAUAAAUGCCGCUUCUACCGUGAGCUGCAUGCAAUUGUGGGGGGUGACGAUACCACUACCCCACCACUGUCCGUGGACACCUGCAAGGGGGGAGUAGCACCGAGUGAGGAGGAUGAGUUUUUGGAGGAUGAAGAGGAGGAAAAGGAGGAGGAACAGGAGGGCAGUGCACAGGGAGCAAGUGGGGAAUCUGUUUUCCCCCCUAGCCAGGAACUAUUCUUAACGCUGGAGCCAAUAGCCUCCUCCCAUUCCCAAGGCAUGCUCCCGCACCAUGACCCUGGAGAAGGCACUUCUGCAGGUGCAAAUGUUUCAAUGCGGCCCCUAUCUACUCCGUCCCAGAGGCUGGUCCAGAUUAGAAGGAGGAAAAAACGAACUCGGGACGACACGUUUGCCGAGCUCAUGCAGUCCUCCCACACUGAUAGGGCCCAGUUGAAUGCGUGGAGGCAAACAAUUGUGGGAGUCGCAUAAAGCGUUACAUGAAUACGAAGAGAGGAGAGACGCAUGCGA